ensembl:lncRNA
ACAAAUUUGAACAAGCCCAUUUAAUUAUGACUGCAGAAAGGGUUAGUUACAUUACAUUACAUUUACAUUACCUUUAGUCAUUUAGCAGAUGCUUUUAUACAAAGCGACUUACAAAUUAGGACAAUGGAAGCAAUUUUUUCUUCCAAAUGGAUAGAAUAAAAAAAAAGAUUAUAGAAGCUAGAGUAAGGAUUUUUUUUCUUUUGUUUUUUUAAGAAAACAAGCAAUUUGUAAAUGAAUAGAGUGCAAGUCUAAAAAUGGCAGGGAUUUAUUUAUUUUUUCUUGAAGAUGGCUAAGGACUGCUCAGAUUGAGAAAUAACAGCCUGUAAGUACAUGCUUUAUAUUUAAAGAAUUUGCCACUUAUGAUUCAAUCGCAAGUUUUAUACAGUGUAGAGUAAAACUUGUUUGUCGUUUCUCAGAUCACAAAUGCAGACAUGGUUUUAUGUUUUUGCAGCGCGAUACGCAAUGCAACGUGUAAAAGCACAGUAUAAGACAUUCUAAUCAGUAAUUAUGUCCCCACUGGAUGCAACAAAUGCCUCGUUUGUAAUGGGUUUUACUGCAUCACAGUAUGUUAAGGGACGUAACAUUUCCGUCACAAGCUUGAGGUAUACUUCGCUUUUCAGAAUGAUGAGCUUUGUAAAAAUCAAUGUGUUUCAGAAAGGCGAGGCAUAGAGGAGCAACAAUAAUGUGGAAAAUAAUGUGAUUUUGAACCUUAAACCGCAUAAACACGUUGCAUUACACCAAAACACCACAUAAUGUUCUUUUUAGCAACGUCAUAUGACCCCUUUCAAGACACUUUAUUUAUAAGUCAAGUUCAUUUUUGAUUGUUUCAUCUGAUUGUUUUAUUUAAAAAUUACACUUGCAUAAAUCUCUUUGAAUUUCAAUGUAUCUUCAUUGUUUACUACCACAAUUUAAAUUCAGAAAUUGAAUUCUAAUAUAAAAGGCAGUUACACUUUAUUUUAAGGUGUGUAAUUACAUGCAACAAAGAAAUUGUUAGGGACGGUGUGAUAAUGGAGUAGGGGCUUCUAAAUGCAAGUUUUAUUACAGAGCGUAGUCGAAACAGGCAGGGUCAAACACCAGCAAACAACAAUAUCCAAUGGCAAGACAAAAGAGUAAUCCAAGAAACAGACAAAGGUCAGGGCAGGCAGCAAACGAUCACAACACAAGGAAAACGUCCAAAGAAAAAAAAAAACACACUGGCAUGGCAAGGCAAGGCAAGAGG